AGAACGAACGCUGGCGGCAGGCUUAACACAUGCAAGUCGAACGCGUGUAGCAAUACACGAGUGGCGCACGGGUGAGUAACGCGUGGAUAUCUGCCUUUUGGUUCGGAAUAACCCCGGGAAACUGGGGCUAAUACCGGAUGGUUCCUACGGGAUAAAGAUUUAUCGCCAAAAGAUGAGUCCGCGUCCGAUUAGCUAGUUGGUGGGGUAAUGGCCUACCAAGGCGACGAUCGGUAGCUGGUCUGAGAGGACGAUCAGCCACACUGGGACUGAGACACGGCCCAGACUCCUACGGGAGGCAGCAGUGGGAAUAUUGGACAAUGGGGCAACCCUGAUCCAGCCAUGCCGCGUGAGUGAUGAAGGCCUUCGGGUUGUAAAGGCUCUUUUGGCGGGACGAUGAUGACGGUACCGCAGAUAAGCCCGGCUAACUCGUGCCAGCAGCCGC
rnacentral:rRNA from 1 species